AAAGCUUGGUUCUAGCUUUAACUUUAACUAUUCUUUAUCUGCCACAUGUAAGCCAAUAGACACCCCAGCAAAGAAAAGAAAAAGGUAUAAUUAAAACCUUAAUCUUCACAGAAUAAGUAAAAUACACAAACUAAUUUAAACCUUGCGAACCACAGUGCUUAACCUUACAAAAUCUGAGAAAUCAGGAAGUAGCUAAAAGAAAGAGAGGUGGUCAAUAACGUGCCAGCAACCGCGGUUACACGUUAACCUCCAGCUAAAGAAUCCGGUAAAAGAAGGGAAGGAAUACUAAUAACAACCAUUAUUAAGCUAUAAACCAGCAGUAAUAAGCUUAAACCAAUGAAAAAACAUGGCUACCCUACCCAAAAAGAAAGGACAUAAACUGGGAUUAGAUACCCCACUAUACCUUUCAGUAAAACAACAACACCAGAGCAGUACGGCUUACAAAGCUUAAACUUAAAGAACUUGGCGGUUUUCUAGAUCUUUUCGGAGGAGCUUGUCAUCAAAUAGAUAACCCACAAGAUACCUCACCAACCUUAGCAACUUCCAGUUUGUAUACCAUCGUCGUCAGCUCACUUCUAAAGAAUGUGAGCUCAAAGAAAUUCCUCUCCACGCCAGAUCAAGGUGCAACCAACAGGUUGGGGAUCGAUGAGCUACUUUAAUUAUCAACAGAGGACAUUAACCUGAAAACCUAAUCAAAAAAGGAUUCGACAGUAAUAAAAGUUAAACAAGAAUUUUAUGAAACAAGCUCUAGAAUACGCACACAUCGCCCGUCACUCUCGUCAACCGAGGAGAAAAGUCGUAACACAGUAGGUGUACCGGAAGGUGC
rnacentral:ncRNA from 1 species